GACGGAGGAUGCAAGUGUUAUCCGGAAUCACUGGGCGUAAAGCGUCUGUAGGUGGUCAAAUAAGUCAACUGUUAAAUCUUGAGGCUCAACCUCAAAAUCGCAGUCGAAACUAUUAGACUAGAGUAUAGUAGGGGUAAAGGGAAUUUCCAGUGGAGCGGUGAAAUGCGUAGAGAUUGGAAAGAACACCGAUGGCGAAGGCACUUUACUGGGCUACUACUAACACUCAGAGACGAAAGCUAGGGUAGCAAAUGGG
rnacentral:rRNA from 1 species